GAUCAUGGCUCAGGAUGAACGCUGGCGGCGCGCCUAACACAUGCAAGUCGAACGGACAAUGAAGAUUUUGUGACUGAGUGGCGGACGGGUGAGUAACGCAUGGGUAACCUGCCUCAUACAGGGGGAUAACAGUUGGAAACGACUGCUAAUACCGCAUAAGCGCACAGGAUCGCAUGAUCUGGUGUGAAAAAUUCCGGUGGUAUGAGAUGGACCCGCGUCUGAUUAG
rnacentral:rRNA from 1 species